CGUCUAUAUACGUAUAGCAUAUCAAUAAGCGGAGGAAAAGAAACUAACAAGGAUUCCCUUAGUAACGGCGAGUGAAGCGGGAAGAGCUCAAAUUUGAAAUCUUCAAGGUUCUACCUUGACGAAUUGUAGUUUAAAGAAGUGUUUUCUGUUAGAGGAGUAGCAAAAGUUCCUUGGAAUGGGACAUCAUAGAGGGUGAGAAUCCCGUAUUUGGUUAUUCUUUCUAGCUUUGUGAUACACUUUCAAAGAGUCGGAUUGUUUGGGAAUGCAGUCCAGAAUGGGUGGUAAAUUUCAUCUAAAGCUAAAUAUUGGCGAGAGACCGAUAGCGAACAAGUACCGUGAGGGAAAGAUGAAAAGAACUUUGAAAAGAGAGUUAAACAGUACGUGAAAUUGUCAAAAGGGAAGCGUUUGACACCAGUGUUGUUUUUCCGAAAAUCAAUUAAGAGUGGCUUGAUUUUGUGUUGUAUUGACCUUAUCAGCUUUCUUCACUCUUUUUCGAGUCUUUCUUAAUGCACUUUUCGGUUAACAAGUCAACAUCAAUUUCUUUUGUUGUAAAAGGGUAUUUGGAAGGUGGCUUUCUUUUCGGAGAAAGUGUUUAUAGCCUUUAUACCUCUACAAUCGGAGAGGAUUGAGGUCUGCAGCGUAGAUCCUUCGGGGCUAGAUACACUUGUGCUAAGUUAUAGCUUUUCAUAGACAACUUGUUGACUAUGUUUAGUCAUGUAGCUUACCCGCUUGUGCUAUUUUACCUACGCUUAGGAUGUUGAGUCAUCACACAUCUCU
rnacentral:rRNA from 1 species